AUAGUACUCCCUCCAUUCUGAAUUACUUGUCGCAGGUAUGGAUGUAUCUAGAUGUAUUUUAGUUCUAGAUACAUCCAUUUCUUCGAUGAGUAAUUUGGAACGGAGGGAGUAUUGU
rnacentral:pre_miRNA from 1 species